GCGGGUGUAGUUCAAUGGUAGAACUCCAGCCUUCCAAGCUGAUAGCGUCGGUUCGAUUCCGAUCACCCGCUCCA
rnacentral:tRNA from 1 species